UACGGGGGGGGCAAGCGUUGUUCGGAAUUACUGGGCGUAAAGGGCUCGUAGGCGGCCAACUAAGUCAGACGUGAAAUCCCCAGGCUUAACCUGGGAACUGCGUCUGAUACUGGAUGGCUUGAAUUCGGGAGAGGGAUGCAGAAUUCCAGGUGUAGCGGCGAAAUGCGUAGAUAUCUGGAGGAAUACCGGUGGCGAAGGCGGCAUCCUGGACCGAGAUUGACGCUGAUGAGCGAAAGCUAGGGGAGCAAACGGG
rnacentral:rRNA from 1 species